CCAAUAGCGUAUAUUAAAGUUGUUGCAGUUAAAAAGCUCGUAGUUGAACUUCGGGGUUUACCCAUUGGUCAGGCUUAAUUGUCUGUACUGGUGAGAUGAAUCUCUACCUUCUGAGGAACUUUCAUGCCAUUUAUUUGGUGUGGUGGGAAAUCAGGACUGUUACUUUGAAAAAAUUAGAGUGUUUAAAGCAGGCUAACGUCUGAAUACAUUAGCAGGGAAUAAUGAAAUAGGACGGACUGAUUCUAUUUCGUUGGUUUCUAGGAUCACCGUAAUGAUUAAUAGGGAUAGUUGGGGGCAUUAGUAUUCAAUUGUCAGAGGUGAAAUUCUUGGAUUUAUUGAAGACUAACUGCUGCGAAAGCAUUUGCCAAGGAUGUUUUCAUUAAUCAAGAACGAAAGUUAGGGGAUCGAAGACGAUCAGAUACCGUCGUAGUCUUAACCAUAAACUAUGCCGACUAGGGAUCGGACGAAGUUAAUUUUAUAAUGACGCGUUCGGCACCUUACG
rnacentral:rRNA from 1 species